AUCCAGCUGACGAGUUCCAAAUGGGACGAAAUGCGCGUUUUGAAU
rnacentral:hammerhead_ribozyme from 1 species